rnacentral:miRNA from 1 species
ACAGAAGAUCUCCGUAUGGAUCCUUGGAUAGCCUGGAACACACUGUGUAGACUUGGCUGUCCUCAAACUCACAGACACCUGCUUC